UAGCUUUAUCCUAAGUCAAACCUCUUUAACUUUAACUAAGUCUAUAAGAAAAUAUGUUGAUUUCCACAAUACCAAAUAAAUGCACUAUUAAUACAUAUUUCAUGAUGGAUUUAAAGAAGCUAAUUUGAUGUUGUAGAUGUUGGUACUUUUUUCUAUAAACUUGGUCAAAGUUAGACAAGUUUGGCUUAAGAUAAAGCUAA
rnacentral:pre_miRNA from 1 species